GCGCUCUUAGCUCAGCUGGCAGAGCAAAGGACUCUUAAUCCUUGGGUCGUGGGUUCGAUCCCCACAGGGCGUACCA
rnacentral:tRNA from 3 species